rnacentral:rRNA from 1 species
AGAUCCAAUAGCGUAUGUUAAAGUUGUUGCAGUUAAAAAGCUUGUGGUUGGAUUUCUGGCUGGGCAUGUAGGUCCGCUCUUACAAGUGUACACUAUACAUGCCUGGUCAUCCUUUGGGAGAGCCACAGUGGUAUUAAGUUGUUGAUGUGGAGAUCCCAAUCCUUUACUGUGAAGAAAUAAGAGUGUUCAAAGCAGGUUUACGCUGUUGAACAUAUUAGCAUGGAAUAAUAACAUAAGACUAUUAUACUAUUUUCUUGGUUUGCACACAACAGUAAAAAUUAACAGGGAUAGUUGGGGGUAUUUGUAUUCCAUUGUCAGAGGUGAAAUUCUUGGAUUUUUGGAAGACAAACUACUGCAAAACCAUUUACCAAAGAUGUGUUCA